CGCCUGGGAUCAGGCGCUAGAUGUUCCACCAUCUCCUGUAGCUGCGUCCCUGAAGCCUAAAAAUAGUGCUUCAUUUGUGAAGAUUGCAGGUGCAUUCUCUUGUUCAACGGAUGGUGAAAUUUUCGGCCUUUUUCGAGAUGACCAUGGAAAAAGCUUUUCCUUAGCCCCAAUCGAAACACCGCCGAAUAUGAAGCCCAUCUUAAAUUUCGCGGUUGAUCCGAUCCAAGAGCAAUUUAGCAAGUCUCCACGGGUUAUACAAUCCUCAAACGGCACGGUCUUUGUGUGUUCCAACUAUCAACUUAAAGUGAUGAAGCCAGAUCGAUCGUUUCAAACAACUGUUGAAGAUGCCUAUGUUGAAUUUUAUGGAUGGAAGGAAUCCUGCGGAACAAUAUCGUCUCAAUGGGACAUGUCCAAGUAUCUGCAGUACACCAAUUCCGAAGGGGUACGCCUAAACGAUAAGGAGACCUGCGAUGUUACUUUUAUACUAGCCGAUGGCACCGUCCAUGCCCACAAGGAAAUUCUCAGACGACGACUAGUAUACUUCGAUAAAAUGUUUAGCAAAAAUUGGGCUGAAGAUGGGCAAAGGUAAGGUGUUGCUAACAAUAGAAGCUUAAGAAGUUGUCGGCCCCUAUUUUAUCAAACUGGUCUCAGAAUCCAUUAGUCAUAUUCUGAAAAAAACACUGCUCCUGGGACUACCGGUAAAUGGUCCGAAGGCGUACAUAUUUCAGUACACAUUUGAUAAAUAAAUGCCGUUGAGUAGUACAAGAACCUUGUUUAUAUCCAGUAAAAGCUAUAUAACUUGGUAAAUUUACCGCUACGUAAGGACAACUACCCAAUGCUAGUUGUACCGGUAGAGUCACACAUAUUUCUAUCUCGUGGUAAUAACAUUUUUCCAUAUAUGCAGAGAAAUCCAUAUACAGGGUGUGACGUUCGCAUCGUUCUACGCCUUGCUGUAUCACUGCUAUACGUAUAAAAUUGAAAUGCCUACUUACGAUUGGGAAUCACCUGCUGAUUUGGCACGAACUGCGAUAUUCUACUGUGACGAACUUCUUAAAAUCAAGUUGGAAGCUGUUCUCCUAAAUGAAAUCAGUUUUACAAACGUUCUCGAACUUCUAGACCUAGCCAUUACCCUAAACUACGAGAUUGUAGGACGCCACUGUGUGAAAUUCAUUCUCAAAAAUAAACCCCAAAUAUUAGAAUCAGCUAGCAAGAGAGAUUUCGAAAAUAUCGGCAUCGGUACGCUUCGAUUUAGGAUGGAAGAGUGAAACAAAGGCGACGCUCAC